GUUUCAGGCAUUUUGUGCUGGAGCACUGGACUUGAUCUGGUCUGUCUUUUCAAGUACUGGAUUGGACUGCUACCACUGCUGGACCAAGUCUCAUGAUCAUGAAGCAGGCUAAAUUCUCCACUGCUGUGGCUUUGUGGCCUGCUUUGGUUAUUAACUGCACCUGCUUUUGGAGUAAAUGGGUUUGGCCAUCUUCUAAAGAGUUUGAUCCUACUGAAGAACUAUCUUGACUAUCUUGAUGGGGCAGCUGAAGAAAUCCUUCACUGGAGUCUGAACGACAGUGGAAUCUAUUUCCCCUCUUCUUGAAUUUGGAAUGCCUUUGCCGAAGAAUAAAUGGGAGUGAUGUAUGAAAGUUCAAACCUGGGCCUCAAGAGGCCUUGUAUACUUCACCUCAGUCUAUCGAAACCCUUCUAGAAGAUGAGAAGCCACAUAAAACAGAAAAGAGGUAUCUCAGGCAGCUGUCCAGCAUAUCUGCCAGAAUUUUGGAGGUGUUGCCUUCUACAGAAUCCAUAGUACUCCGGAGCUCUUCCACAGUUUUUGUCAAACUCUGGUUUUCCAUUUCUAACUUUAAUAACUUACUUGAUGUCAGCUCAUUCACCUCAUGGCCCAAGGAUUUCUGUGGUGCUAUAAUAUUGAAAAAAUAUGCCAUUAGUAAA